AUGUGUGCUGUCUGGUUCCCUCUGAUCCUACUGGCCUUGCUACCAGGAACGAUUGCAGAGGAUUCAGUUUCACAGGAUCCUCCUGAAUUAACGACUGAAGAAGGACAGACCGUAAUGCCGAACUGUAGUUACUCAAUAGCUAAUAGUUACAUUUAUUGGUACAUUCAGCGUCAACAUGGAAGUCCACAAUUCUUGCUGAAGCUAAUUAACACGAGGAUGGAUCGGUCGUCAGAAACUCCGUUUCGGUUUUCUGGUUUCUUACGGAAAGACAGCCAGGUCGCUCAUUUAAAUAUCUCGGGAGUUCUUGCUUCGGAUUCCGCCAUGUAUCUCUGUGCCAUGAAGCUCACGGAGAUGACGGGUCCGGUCAGAAACCUCGCCUAA